GGUCACAAAUCUGAAAAACUAACCGCAGAAAAAAUGGAUGAUCUCUUCAAAGUUCGCUUUUCUCCUGAAGGAAGCAAUAAGAAGACAUUGGAAGUUUCCAUUGUUGCUGUUUGAAGGGAUUUUUUACUGGAUGUGGAAGAAAAGGAGACAUCAACCACAAUGGAAGGGAUACUCAUAUUUGCUACAGGUGCUGACUGUAUCCCUCCAUGUGGCUUCUUCCCGGAACCGUCCAUUGAAUUUCUGCAUCAUUAUGGUGCUGCACAUCCAGGGUUGCUUCCAGUGUCAAA